UACGUAGGGUGCAAGCGUUGUCCGGAUUUAUUGGGCGUAAAGAGCUCGUAGGCGGUCUGUCGCGUCGGAUGUGAAAACCCAGGGCUCAACCCUGGGCCUGCAUUCGAUACGGGCAGACUAGAGUGUGGCAGGGGAGACUGGAAUUCCUGGUGUAGCGGUGAAAUGCGCAGAUAUCAGGAGGAACACCUGUGGCGAAAGCGGCUCACUGGACCAUAACUGACGCUGAUGCACGAAAGCUGGGGGAGCAAACAGG
rnacentral:rRNA from 1 species